ACGGGACCUUUCGGGGUCUAGUGGCGGACGGGUGAGUAACGCGUGAGAACAUGCCCUUAGGUUCGGGACAACAGUUGGAAACGGCUGCUAAUACCGAAUGUGCCGAGAGGUGAAAGAUUAAUUGCCUAAGGAUUGGCUCGCGUCAGAUUAGCUAGUUGGUGAGGUAAAGGCUCACCAAGGCUGCGAUCAGUAGCUGGUCUGAGAGGAUGACCAGCCACACUGGGACUGAGACACGGCCCAGACUCCUACGGGAGGCAGCAGUGGGGAAUUUUCCGCAAUGGGCGAAAGCCUGACGGAGCAAUACCGCGUGAGGGAGGAAGGCUCUUGGGUUGUAAACCUCUUUUCUUCGGGAAGAACAAAAUGACGGUACCGAAGGAAUAAGCAUCGGCUAACUCCGUGCCAGCAGCCGCGGUAAUACGGAGGAUGCAAGCGUUAUCCGGAAUAAUUGGGCGUAAAGCGUCCGCAGGUGGCGAUUCAAGUCUGCUGUUAAAGGUCCUGGCUCAACUGGGAUAUGGCAGUGGAAACUGAAGAGCUAGAGUGCGGUAGGGGUAGAGGGAAUUCCCGGUGUAGCGGUGAAAUGCGUAGAGAUCGGGAAGAACACCAGUGGCGAAAGCGCUCUACUAGGC
rnacentral:rRNA from 1 species